rnacentral:misc_RNA from 1 species
UUGUUUGUUUCAGAAGACUCAGAAGAUAGGUACGGCAAAUAGUUGGUACGGCCGGCGGCGGGCACCGGGCAAGGCCCUGUCCCACAGGGCUGCCCGCCGGAGCACGAUCCCUCAGAUACGGUAGACAGUGGUUGGAGCGCUAGACUCGUAAUGAUCCCUCCGCUGGUUCACCAACGGAGA